rnacentral:ncRNA from 1 species
GGAGGUGGGGGUGCAAAGACAGCCAGGAGGUUUGCCUAGAAGCAGCCACCCUUUAAAGAGUGCGUAAUAGCUCACUGAUCGAGCGCCCUUGCGCUGAAGAUGAACGGGGCUAAGCGAUCUGCCGAAGCUGUGCGAUGUCAAAAUGCAUCGGUAGGGGAGCGUUCCGCCUUAGAGGGAAGCAACCGCGAAAGCGGGGGUCGACGAAGCGGAAGCGAGAAUGUCG